GUUGGUGAACCAGCGGAGGGAUCAUUACCGAGUUUACAACUCCCAAACCCCUGUGAACAUACCUAUCGUUGCUUCGGCGGGAUCGCCCCGGCGCCCCCGGGCCCGGAUCCAGGCGCCCGCCGGAGGACCCCAAACUCUUGUUUAUCCCCCCCGGGAUGUAUCCUCUGAGCGGUACAAGCAAAUCAAAUCAAAACUUUCAACAACGGAUCUCUUGGUUCUGGCAUCGAUGAAGAACGCAGCGAAAUGCGAUAAGUAAUGUGAAUUGCAGAAUUCAGUGAAUCAUCGAAUCUUUGAACGCACAUUGCGCCCGCCAGUAUUCUGGCGGGCAUGCCUGUUCGAGCGUCAUUUCAACCCUCAGACCCCUCCGGGGGCCUGGUGUUGGGGCCCGGCCGUCACGGCGCCGGCCCCGAAAUCUAGUGGCGGUCUCGCUGUAGCCCCCUCUGCGUAGUAGCAACACCUCGCACUGGGACGCGGCGCGGCCAUGCCGUUAAACCCCCAACUUCUGAAAGGUUGACCUCGGAUCAGGUAGGAAUACCCGCUGAACUUAAGCA
rnacentral:rRNA from 1 species